rnacentral:rRNA from 1 species
GACGAACGCUGGCGGCGUGCUUAACACAUGCAAGUCGAACGGAAAGGCCCUGCUUUUGUGGGGUGCUCGAGUGGCGAACGGGUGAGUAACACGUGAGUAACCUGCCCUUGACUUUGGGAUAACUUCAGGAAACUGGGGCUAAUACCGGAUAGGAGCUCCUGCUGCAUGGUGGGGGUUGGAAAGUUUCGGCGGUUGGGGAUGGACUCGCGGCUUAUCAGCUUGUUGGUGGGGUAAUGGCUUACCAAGGCUUUGACGGGUAGCCGGCCUGAGAGGGUGACCGGCCACAUUGGGACUGAGAUACGGCCCAGACUCCUACGGGAGGCAGCAGUGGGGAAUAUUGCACAAUGGGCGGAAGCCUGACGCAGCAACGCCGCGUGCGGGAUGACGGCCUUCGGGUUGUAAACCGCUUUCGCCUGUGACGAAGCGUGAGUGACGGUAAUGGGUAAAGAAGCACCGGCUAACUACGUG